CCCUCGCCUUUCCUUUCCUUCCUCGCUCGGACGACGCCUCCACCGCCGCUAUCGUCCCUGGUCGAUCUCUUUAUCUUCGCACCAAAAUUGGCUGCGCCAUUCUCAUCUCCACCCCUGUCCCAUCCCCUACACCCCCCUCCACAUUCCCUAAUCCCUAGCCCAUAGAUUGCGGCGGUGGCCAAGGCCAAUGAGGAUGAGGGCAUUGGCCGCCACCCUCAUUUGCAUCGGCAGAAGCGGACCACAUCCCUUGGCGGAGGUGGUGGUCAUGGCGAAUGUGGAUGCGGCAGGUCUUCCUCCCCAUCCACAUCGUAUCCCUAGCCCAGCCCGCCUCUGGGAUCCAUCUGCAUGGAGACUUCUCCGGCAAAAAAAGGUGCGCCCCGCUCCUCAUUCGAUCCAAUCACUGAGUCCCUACCCAUUCUUGUCGCUCGAUUUCGUUCCCAAGCCCCCUCUAUUGCACUCUGUGCCUGCAUGGGAUUAAACAUUGCCACUCCUCCAGCCCAACAAUUUGUUGCUGCAGGUGUUUGAUAAAAUGCCUAUGACCAAACAAUGAUCAGAUUUGCUACACUCUCCUGCAAGUUCUGUGAGUUAUUGAGCUAAUACACGAGUCAGAAGACAUAAUGUAAAUUCGAUAUGUAAAGCAGGGUGGGGUUGCUCAAGAAAACAAGACUUCCACUCUGGGAUAGAUUUAUAUUUGGAGACUGGAUUUCAGCAUCACCGAGAUCAAGACCGGUAACUCAACAAGACUGGCGAUGGCAAUUGUUUGUGCAGCAGGCGCGGGUUCAGGAUCUAUGCAACUGGUGCAGAGAAAAAUAUUUUACCAAAUUAUGGGACAUUGGAUGCCAUUAAGUUUUGUAA